CAUGCAAGUCGAACGCAGUAGCAAUACUGAGUGGCAAACGGGUGAGUAUAAUGUGGGAAUCUGCCUUUUGGUUUGGAAUAACACGGGGAAACUUGUGCUAAUACCGAAUAAGCCUUUACAGGGAAAGUUUUAACGCCGAAAGAUGAGCCCGCACUUGAUUAGCUAGUUGGUAAGGUAAAAGCUUACCAAGGCAACGAUCAAUAGCUGUUCUUAGAGGAAGACCAGCCACAUUGGGACUGAGACACGGCCCAGACUCCUACGGGAGGCAGCAGUGGGGAAUCUUGCACAACGGGGGGAACCCUGAUGCAGCGAUGCCGCGUGAGUGAAGAAGGCCCUUGGGUUGUAAAACUCUUUCGUCGGGGAAGAAAAUGACUGUACCCGAAUAAGAAGGUCCGGCUAACUUCGUGCCAGCAGCCGCGGUAAUACGAAGGGACCUAGCGUAGUUCGGAAUUACUGGGCUUAAAGAGCUCGUAGGUGGUUAAAAAAGUUGAUGGUGAAAUCCCAAGGCUUAACCUUGGAACUGCCAUCAAAACUUUUUAGCUAGAGUGUGAUAGAGGUAAGUGGAAUUUCUAGUGUAGAGGUGAAAUUCGUAGAUAUUAG
rnacentral:rRNA from 1 species